UACGUAGGGCGCAAGCGUUGUCCGGAAUUAUUGGGCGUAAAGAGCUCGUAGGCGGUCUGUUACGUCCGCUGUGAAAACCCAGGGCUUAACCCUGGGCUUGCAGUGGAUACGGGUAGACUAGAGGCAGGUAGGGGAGAAUGGAAUUCCCGGUGUAGCGGUGAAAUGCGCAGAUAUCGGGAGGAACACCGGUGGCGAAGGCGGUUCUCUGGGCCGAUACUGACGCUGAGGAGCGAAAGCGUGGGGAGCGAACAGG
rnacentral:rRNA from 1 species